rnacentral:rRNA from 1 species
CCUACGGGUGGCAGCAGUGGGGGAUAUUGCACAAUGGGGGGAACCCUGAUGCAGCGACGCCGCGUGGGUGAAGGCGUGCUUCGGCAUGUAAAGCUCUAUCGGCAGGGAAGAAGCAAGACGGUACCUGACUAAGAAGCCCCGGCUAAAUACGUGCCAGCAGCCGCGGUACUACGUAGGGGGGCGGGCGUUACCCGGAUUCACUGGGGGUAAAGGGAGCGUAGACGGUCAUGCAAGCCAGGGGUGAAAGCCCGGGGCCUAACCCCGGGACUGCACUUGGCACUGCAUGGCUGGAGUGCGGGAGGGGCAGGCGGAAUUCGUGGUGUAGCGGUGAAAUGCGUAGAUAUCAGGAAGAACACCGGCGGCGAAGGCGGCCUGCUGGACCGCGACUGACGUUGAGGCUCGAAAGCGUGGGGAGCGAACAGGAUUAGAUACCCGGGUAGUC